CACAUGUGAUGAGUUUGAUCAUGGCUCAGAACGAACGCUGGCGGCAGGCCUAACACAUGCAAGUCGAGCGCGCCCUUCGGGGUGAGCGGCGGACGGGUGAGUAACGCGUGGGAACGUACCCUUUGCUACGGAAUAGUCUCGGGAAACUGGGGGUAAUACCGUAUGAGCCCUUCGGGGGAAAGAUUUAUCGGCAAAGGAUCGGCCCGCGUUGGAUUAGGUAGUUGGUGGGGUAAUGGCCCACCAAGCCGACGAUCCAUAGCUGGUUUGAGAGGAUGAUCAGCCACACUGGGACUGAGACACGGCCCAGACUCCUACGGGAGGCAGCAGUGGGGAAUCUUAGACAAUGGGCGCAAGCCUGAUCUAGCCAUGCCGCGUGAGCGACGAAAGGCCUUAGGGUUGUAAAGCUCUUUCGUGGGGGAAGAUAAUGACUGUACCCCAAGAAGAAGCCCCGGCUAACUCCGUG
rnacentral:rRNA from 1 species